GGCUGUGGCUCAGUGGUAGAGCACUUGCUUGGCAUGUGUAAGGCCCUGGGUUCGAUUCUCAGCACCA
rnacentral:tRNA from 1 species